CAAUGGAUGGACACCACUUGCUGAGACCAGCUCGGUCAGGGAGGCCCUAACCCAGCGGCACUAGAGGAAUUAAAGACACACACACAUAAAUAUAGAGUAACAUAGAAUGUUGAUUGUCCUGAGUUCCAGAGCCUCAAAGAGCACCCAGCAUAACUGUGGGAGAAUAGUAAGCAUUGGACACAAAAUGGAAAAGCUGACCUUCUGGUACGGAAGAGCAUGAGCAGUGAGUGAGCAGUGCCCAUGCGUUGUGAGGCGGCCUCCAUGGUAUAAGGUUUAGGCAAAUAAUGAUGAACAAAAAUGGUCAGUCUGUGUUCCUGCUGACCCAGCACAGUGGGGACGCUGUGUAGGACAUGACCUUUGGGGGAAAGGACACAAGAACUCAGCGUGGGGGAUCCAGAAAAGAAGUCGCACGUAUUGAAGCCAGUAACGCCAAGCCAGUGAAUUCUCCUUGACGAGAAAGACCCACUUACUCUGCAGAAGAGAUAUAUGACAGCUGACAAUCCCUGGAGGAGAAUCUUUCUACUAAAUUGGUAAGGGAUGCUAAGCAAAUGAUGUGGACUCAGGAAACAACGCAUUUCAUGAUAUACGGUUGCCUCUCAAGGUGAAUUCGAGACCCCUCUUGAAUUACAAAGAGAGUGAAGAAAAGGAGUAAACGUAAAGAUCUACCCCAAUGUAUUUUACAAAAACAUCUACUUGGAAAUACCGUGGUUUAUUAUUCCUGGCGACACAACUUGGCAUUUUUUUCCCCUUUCUGUUGUGCUUCAUUUUAUUGCGCUUCACAGAUACUGAGUUUUUACUUUUUUUCUUUUCUAGUGUUUCUUUGUUAUUUCUUCAGCCUUUAUUUUAAGUUCCUACUCACUUGCAAAUUUUUUUACAGAGUACGAAUGAAUGCCUGAAAGUCAAAGUAUAUGUACCCCGGAACAACUUGUCAUUUAACAACAAAAACAAAACUUUGACAUUCAGGCCUUCAUUUGUACUCUGUAAAAAAUCCGCAAAUGAAUAUUUUCUGAAGGGAAGGAAAGAAGCACCUUUACCAUUUUGUUAUUCUCUUGUUAUCUGUGAAGUUUGAUUUAUUGGAAACUACCAAGAAAGAAAUUAGCAGAAAUCAUCACAGCAAGACUCUUUAAGGAAUGGAUGGAAUUUAGAAAGGAAUUAGCUGGAAAAAAAUGCAAAAUUUUUAAGUGCCAAUUUUCCAUUUAAUUUUCACCAGCAAUCCCCAUUUCACGAAUGCUGUUUCUGAGCUUGAAAUGUCAAAAUAAUCAAAAAUAAACAUAGCUCACGUACUGAAUUUUAUCAUUAAAAUACUUUGUUUUCCAUUGA
rnacentral:lncRNA from 1 species